GAUGAACGCUGGCGGCGUGCCUAACACAUGCAAGUCGAGCGCGUCUGAUUUGAUGCUUGCAUUAAUGAAAGAUGAGCGGCGGACGGGUGAGUAACGCGUGGGUAACCUGCCCUAUACACAUGGAUAACAUACUGAAAAGUUUACUAAUACAUGAUAAUAUAUAUUUACGGCAUCGUAGAUAUAUCAAAGUGUUAGCGGUAUAGGAUGGACCCGCGUCUGAUUAGCUAGUUGGUGAGAUAACUGCCCACCAAGGCGACGAUCAGUAGCCGACCUGAGAGGGUGAUCGGCCACAUUGGAACUGAGACACGGUCCAAACUCCUACGGGAGGCAGCAGUGGGGAAUAUUGCACAAUGGGCGCAAGCCUGAUGCAGCAACGCCGCGUGAACGAUGAAGGUCUUCGGAUCGUAAAGUUCUGUUGCAGGGGAAGAUAAUGACGUAUCCCUGUGAGGAGCCCCGCA
rnacentral:rRNA from 1 species